CAUUAAAAAAAAAAAUGUGGGAGAUGUCCUGACCCUGAACAGGUUGAGAACCACUGUUCUCAUGAAAUAUCAAAUCUAAAUGCUUAAAGAAGUUGUUUCUAAUUCCACCAAGUCAGCAAUUUAACAUUUGCUGGUUAAAACCUUAUUAAGCAACUAUGGUAUGCUCCUUUAUGAAUAUGACCCUUUUCUGCUCAGUGCUUUGUUUAAAUGGACCUACCUGAAGGCAGGAGGAAGAAACAAAGCCUUUAGAACUGGAGUGGAAGGUAAUCUUGCAGCAAAUUUAUUUUGCAAAUAAGUGCAGUUUCAUGGGUUCCAUAGGCAAAAUAGCCUAUGACAAAUGAAUCUUUAUGACCCAUGAUGGAAAUGAAUUCCCUAUCCUUCUUUCAGCUGCCUUUUAUUUCAAAAAGUGCUCCUUACACUCUGCUCCCUUCUCCUAAGAGAAUGGUGGAAAGGAAGGAGCAAAUCAGUUUCUCAUUGAUAAAUACUGGUUGUAUGAUUCCACCCCCCCCAUGUGAUUAUUAAGAGGACCUGGAAUUUGGACUUGAUUGUCAAAGAGUUCUCUUCUCUCUUAGUACUGCCUCAGGUUAGGAAACCAAUUUGGAAUCCUAACCCCCACAGUUUUUAAAAGAAGGGAAUGGUUGCCUGAGCAUUUAUUCACAUGAGCACCAUAACUAUGGCUUUUGAUUUUGCCUCCAUCUGAAAUAAGUCUGAGUUUUCCAAAGCCUGGGUUUUGUUAAGAAAUACAUGAAUAUGUAUAAAUGCAUACAUGCACAUGCAUAAAUCCACAUAUGUGGUACUAGGUUUACAUGCAUAGGCUUAGGGGGGAAAAAACUUGUGCAUUUGCCUGUAGUGUGCACUUAUUUAAACAUAAUGUAAACUGCAUUCCUUAAGUACACACUGCUGUCAGUGUGGAGGUAUUAGCAGCCCCAAAAUGGACUGUUUUGAAGGUUUGAAAAUAAGCAGUGCUGGUCAGUUUUGGGGCUGCUAAUACCACAACAGUGACAAUAGUGUGCCCAUUUAUUUCCCCUGUAUACUCUUAUACUCCCUUUGUUAAUGUUUUGUUAACUCAGAUAGUAAACUCUAAGCCUAGGCCAUUAUCAUCCUGCAUGAUUGUGAAAUGUCGGGCAAAGUUUUUUGUGAUUUAAUGAUCCAACACUCCAGUUCUAAAACUGGUGAAGUAUAAUGCUAGAAAGAUUUGUGUAAAUACAGCACUUCUUGAGAAGUCUAGAAGUAUAAAACUUGAUCCUGGGUGGUAUUUGGGCCUUUCUCAUAAGGUUUAUUUAGUGGAUGAGUCUUCUAUGAUGCCAAGAACUUAGUGUAUUGUGUAACAGUGAUAGUCACCCUAAUCUGACUGUUGGCUAUAGUCUAAAAUUAGAUCUUAAAAUUAGACCUUUGCGGCUGGGGCACAGCAUCCAUGAGAACCGCUGGCUCCCACUGAGGGUGGGUGUGGCAAUGGGUAUGUAUUAGUGUGUGAGAGACGGGUAAUUUCUUACUCAAUAAAUCAUAAAGAUCUAUUUGUUAAAUAGGAAGGGUGCUAACCAUAUUCUCUUGCUGUCAGAUGACAGAUUAUUUUUAAUUGUGUACACGAUGGAUUAAUGGAAGGCUAACUCUUCAGUUUAAAGGUUUGGGAGCUGAUGGUGAGGAAGUAAAGUAGACUAGGAUGAGACAUUUGGUUUAACACAAAAAGAAUACAAUUUCUUUUCUGAGUAAUGGGAGGGAAAAUUGAUACUUUGCUUAUUUACAAGUGAUUGAAGCAAAUUAAGUAGAGUAUUACAGGUUUGACUGUCAUUCUCAGAAGAACCAAAUCCUUUAGGAAGCAGAAGUGGGUGGCAAAAGCCGUAGGACCUGGCUUUCCUGUCUGUAGGUCAACUGUAAUUCUCUCUGUUGAAGAAUUAAAUGUGGUCUGAGAAUUGUAAUGGUACAGAUGAGGGAUUUUCCAGUGUUCUUGCAUUAGUUUCAUAGUUGCCGUUUUAGUUAUGAUGCAAUUUCUAGUUAUCUUAAGAAACUAGAGAAACAACCCUUUAAAGAAGAGAAAGAUCCCAGGGCUGAAAAUCAAGAUAACAAAAAAUAUAAAAGCUGCUUAUUCUUGAUUCUGUCUGUUCAAGUCCUAAGACUUGUGCUGUUUAGUCUUUUGCUUUUAAGCAAAACUUUUAUAGCAGUUUUAAUUAAAAUUUAAGGACCCUUUUCAUUUAAUUUAAGAUUUUUUUUUAGAUCAGAGUUACAUAUUUCUAACCACUUCUAUUCAUUGAUAUACUUGCCUUUUCCAAUUAGAUUUUCCAGUGUAAGGCUUCAGUGGGAGCUUUUGGGAUUCCAGGAUUCUGAAAAUCUGGCCAGUUAUUUAAAUUAAUGUAAGUUUUGGAAGCCUGAACCCAUGUACUCAUUUAAUCAUCUUUGUCUCUUACAUACCAAAUUGUUGGUUUGACACAUUUUUGUUUAAAUAUAGAGGGUUUGAAUUAUUGAAUAUUUUAUGAGGGACUAAAAAUUGUUGUGUGUUGU